CCAUCCGGCGCUGCAUCAGGGUGGAGCGAGACCCUUCUCCACGGCGACCACGCUCGUUGACCUCACCCGCCACGGUAACCUCCGGACCCCGUCCCCUCUCCGCGUCCACACCCCGAUUAAUUUCGUCAUCCCCCUACCCCUGCCCCGUGCAGGUAAGCAGAAGCAGAUCAAGGACGGCCUACCCCAGCUCCUCCCGCCGCAAGGCCAAGGAGAGGCCGGCGGGCGUUCGGAGAUGGCCGACGACCACGCAGAAGGGCUCGUCCACUCCGACCUCGACGGCCAAGGAGGAGCUCGUCCGGUCAGAUGACGCCCACCAAUUUAAAGUAUUUCUCGUUUUGCUGGAUCACACCGAACGCCACUCUCACCCUGUGCAUUCGCAGAUGGGGUGGAUAUCCAACUGACCGAGGAGAGCCGUCGCGGCUCAGCAAACAUGUGUUGUUAUACAUGCCGGUGGCGUCGUCGACGGCGUCGGCGCAGCCGCAGCCCCAAUCGUUGUCAAGAGCCUACCGAGGCUGAGAAGAAAGAGAUGGCGCCAAGGUGGCUCUUGGCGACUUCUGGUGACCUUGAUCGGCGGGAGGGGCGCAUAAGCUUGCAGGGAUGAAGGCUUGGAGGCACGAUGGGAGACCUGCAGGUCUAGCUGCUCUGUCCCAAGUUUCACCACGGCGAGCUCGGCACAUAAAGAUCGAUGGUUUCAAGCAGAUAGACGGUGGUGGUUAUUGUUGCAACAAAUAGAAAAGAAGACUUUAUCAGUGCACCCCAUGCCCAUGAUGAUUCGUUGCUGCUGCUGCACCACGCAUCCAAGAGGUUCAGGUUAGCGCGAAAGAAAGGAAGACAAAAUAGAAAUAAGAAAGAUACAACAGAGGAUGGGGAUUUUGCGAACCUUCCUCGAGCUCGCCAUCAAUUCAUGUCUCGUGCUGCCAUGGUCAGUCACCGUAGCAACAAUGCUUGGAGAGCUUCAUGAGUUGAAAAAGUCACCACUCUUUGUAUGUGGAGCUGUCCUCCGAGGAGCUGGAUGCAGAGUGAAUGAUCUUCUUGAUCUCGACAUGUAGAAGAAGGUGAUUAUGUUUUUCCUGUAGUUUAUUUUGGUUGCACAAAAUGCCUUCGAUUGUGCUUGCUAGUAAAAAAUUCCUUUCAGGUCAUUGCAACCAUGAAUAAAUGGUUUUAAUUGCCUUUAAGGUUGUUGCCUUUAACCAGGAAUGUAUCAAGAGCAAGCGUGUAAUUGCAUUGGAUGCGGUAUAAUGUUGAAUUGCAUCUAACUGACAUUUGCAUUUUUACAUAUCUGCCCAUGAUUUCUCAAAGCACACCAACAGGUUUGAUCUUUAAGUCUAUAUACAAAUUUAUUGUCCAAGUUCACGACGUGAGUGACAAGGAUGCAUCACAUGUAGUUUAUUCAUGGUUUCCUUAAUGAGCUAUUUCACAAGAGCUUAUGGUUAGAUUAAUAAGGCCUUCUCAAAAAUGUAUAUUUUCUGAGUGAGUCUCUUUGCCUUAUGUGAUAUAUUUGAUGGUUCGGAUACUGUUGAAUCUCAAAACUGAAUCUCAAAACAGAGGAGGUCAGAACCGAGUGAUUUGCUCAUAUCUUUUAUAGUACUUAAUUGGAAUUAUGGUUAACUAUCAACAAAGAAACGGGUUUCCCUUGUUAUGUAAUAUUUGUGAACCCAAACUUAGAUUGUGGUUAGUUUGUAUGUUUUGUGUUCUCUGAUCUUUAUUCCUCUGGUCUGUGAUCCUGUAACUUAGAUUGUUGGAUCUAGAGCUUCUUAAUCGAAUAGAUGCUCUAUAUUCAUGUGCUCACUGAUCUAGUAACUUAGAUUGUUUGGUCUUAUUCCUGUGUUCUCUGAUCCUGUAACUUAGAUUGUUGGACCUGGAGCUUCUUAAACUUAAAUUUUACAUAGUUGUUAUCUGAAUAAAGUAUAUGCCAUUUGCUUAUUUUAUCUCAAGACUUACUGCACAUUUUGGGCUUCUUUCCCAGUGCUGUUUUACCAAGCAAGUGUUUAAGGUGAAGAAGCAAAUCUUGGCAAGCCUAGCUCUGAAGAUAAAUGUCAAUGUCGGUGUUCAAGCUAAACUUGCCACUUCUUGUUGUGCUUUGUGCGUUUCUUGGGUCGUCGAGUCUAACAUUCGGUCGUAUGAGGAAGUAUGUUUCGUCUCGACUCUUUGGUUUCCAUGGUUAGCGGUUUACCAGAUCAGGGAAUGCUGAAACUCACAGGCGCAUGUGCGUGUUGUGCACCUAUAUUAAACCCUAAUAAUAUUUCAGUCCAUUUUUAGUGGGCUUUUGGAACGCCUGACUAUUUAUAUGUUUCUCUAGUUUACCUUGCAUAGAAAAUCAAAGGAGGUGAAAACGUAGAGGUACAUGCUUUUCACACCUUCCCUUAUUUCCAGCCCAGUUGUUAGUGUAUUUAGGAAUGGUUCAGUUGCUUGGUUUAAUGGAUAACUAGGAUUCUUCAGAACGAUCACAAAAUAGUGUCUAAUUUUUACUAGAUUGAGAUUCAUUGAGGCCAUCAUCAUUUUGACUUGUUCAUUUCACAUCGGUUCUGUUAUAUAAUAAAACGGUGACCAUUUUAGUUUGAAGCGUCAUUUGCAGGCCUAGGAGAAGUUUUCUUCAUGCCAGCACUUACUUGCUAGAUUAUUUCAAUAAGACCAGAUGUAUGUGGUUUUGGAAGUAAGCUACUUAGGCACAUGCUCUUUCUAUAGAGGUAAUUAUGGUGCCUGUUCUUAGUGGAAUUGUUUUAGGUAAUUUUGUACCAGGUGUGGCCUCUGAAAAUCCAAUGAUUUCGUUAGGCCUUAGUUUCUACGAUGUUUCACAUAAGAAGCUACCUGUACUUCUUGGUUUGUUUUGCAGCAGCAUGAAUAAAAGGCUUCGGCCUGCUAUAUUGUUUGUACACUAGUUGUAGGUUUACUAGAUGGUUGAGUUGCAGUGAUGAUCUUUGAUUUGGCCCCUAGAUUAGGAUAUCACUCCCGUUGCAGCUUCAGAAGUGAUCACUCAACCACUCAUUGUUUCACUGUUAUAGGAAUAAUUUUUGGUAAUGUACUGAAUCAGAAGUAAUAAUAUGAUUUUUAUUGUAUUAUGGGCCCGUGCUGGUGAGCUGGCCGCCUCAAAAAACUACAUAUCGUGUAAAGUUUUGGGAAUAUGUGCUUUGGGUUGGUACCCUUUUUUUUCGCACUUCCGCUCAUUGUUUCUUAGAUUCACUAACCCAAAUGUGAUGCAUCAAUGCGCAGAUUUCGUUAGCCAACUUUGUAUGGCAGAGAAAAACCAAUAUCUCAAAGAGCAAAAGUGGGCUACGUAGGGUCCAUCUAGUUCUUAUUCAUUCUACAUGUUUAGUGGCUGUUUCUUGUCACCCUGCCUUGCUGAGGCUCACAUACAUGAGUGGACCAGAGAUGAACCAUCCGUGGUGGCAUGAUCACCAUUUUCAGUUUGUCUGUACUACUUAAUGGCACAAUUCAUAUCUAACUCUCGUGGGAUGCAUUUGCAGGGAGCUUCUUAUAUCCUUCAAAAGAUCAACUAGUGAAAAGCCUCCACGCAUAUUGUUCUAUAGGUAUGCAUACUACCAUGCCGAAUCUUGCACGGAUGCUCUGACAAGAGUUUGAGUGAGAGAAUAUCUUGUGGUAUGCUUGAGCAUUUGAGCUGUCCUUUUCGCAGAAACUGUGUGAGUGAGGGCCAGUUGUACCAAGUUAAGUUCUACUGCUGUCCGUGGUGUAUGUGCUAUGUUACCGUUCCGGUCCCUUGUGACAUCCAUUUUUGUAAUUGCUCCAUAGACCUGGAGUGUUAAAAGUGCCACGUCUAUCUUAGUUGCUUAUUUGUGUUUCCACUUGUGGAUGUCAGUAUGAGCUGCUGUGAUAUAUAUGAAAAAAAUUUACUGUUGAUUA